rnacentral:rRNA from 1 species
CCUACGGGGGGCAGCAGUGAGGAAUAUUGGUCAAUGGCCGGAAGGCUGAACCAGCCAUGCCGCGUGAAGGUCAGUGCCCUAUGGGCGUUAAACUUCUUUUGUGCGGGAGCAAUAAUGGUCACGUGUGGCCAGACGAGAGUACCGUACGAAUAAGCCUCGGCUAACCCCGUGCCAGCAGCCGCGGUAAUACGGGGGAUGCAAGCGUUAUCCGGAUUUAUUGGGGUUAAAGGGUGCGUAGGCUGGGAGGUAAGUCAGCGGUGAAAUGCCCCCGCUCAACGGGGUGAAGUGCCAUUGAUACUGCCUUGCUGGAAUGCGGAUGCGGUAGGAGGAAUGUGUGGUGUAGCGGUGAAAUGCAUAGAUAUCACACAGAACACCGAUUGCGAAGGCAUCUCACGAAUCCGCGAUUGACGCUGAUGCACGAAAGCGUGGGUAUCAAACAGGAUUAGAUACCCGAGUAGUC